rnacentral:lncRNA from 1 species
CCACACUUGUCAUAUAAGCCAUGAAAAGCACUUUUUGCAUGUUUUAUAAACAAUCCCAUGCAACGAAAUCACUCCUCUCUCGCCAAACUUUGCCAACACUUAGAGAACUACCAAUGUUCAACCCCAAAACACAAAAGCUUCAUACCCCCAAUAAUGGCACCGAGGAAACGAGUUUCAGUAGAACCAGUGACAUAUAAACACAUAAAUGACCCAAUUUCACCUGGUAUGCCUAUAGUUCCUGUGCCAAAUCCUCUGAAAACGUUCGACAGACCAAAGAGCGCAAGGAUUAUUAUUCCAUCGAGAAAAAUUAAUGAAGAACUCCUUAAUUUGAUUGAGAAUCAGGGAAAACCUUCGCAUGUUGAUGGAAGAAAUGGGGUGGGAUACCUUAGCAAGGUUUGUAGUUAGGGUGGUGCUGGAGGUUUUUGUUACAUGAUUAGCGGCGGAUUUUGGAAAUCCUCCGAUGAUGGUUUUUCCCCCUAGACCUCCACCUAACCCCCUAUGAGAGUUGCCCGUUCCUGUCUACAGUUAGUGCUUUUUGGUAAAGGUGGGAAGAAAUAUUUUGCUUUUUGGUUGUAAAAUAGAAAAAGAAGAAAAAAAUCCUUAUAAAAUAAACAAAACUUUUUUCUUCAGUCCUAUUUUUAUUCUGUCGAUUAUAUUGCCUAGUUGUUUUAUUUACUUAUUUGCUGUUUAUUUGCAUAAAUAUAAAAUGAAAAAAACCA